rnacentral:tRNA from 1 species
GCUCCCAUAGCUUAACUCAAAGCAUGGCACUGAAGAUGCCAAGACGGCGCCCACAUUCCCCUGGGAGC